rnacentral:rRNA from 1 species
GCGUGAGUGAUGAAGGCCCUAGGGUUGUAAAGCUCUUUCAGAAGUGAAGAUGAUGACGGUAACUUCAGAAGAAGCUCCGGCUAACUCCGUGCCAGCAGCCGCGGUAAUACGGAGGGAGCUAGCGUUGUUCGGAAUUACUGGGCGUAAAGGGCGUGUAGGCUGUUUGAUUAGUCAGAGGUGAAAUCCCUAAGCUCAACUUAGGAACUGCCUUUGAUACUGUCAUAACUAGAGAUCGAGAGAAGUUAGCGGAACUCCAAGUGUAGAGGUGAAAUUCGU